rnacentral:rRNA from 1 species
UACGUAGGGGGCUAGCGUUGUCCGGAAUUAUUGGGCGUAAAGAGCUCGUAGGCGGUCUGUCGCGUCUGGUGUGAAAACUCAGGGCUUAACCCUGAGCUUGCAUCGGGUACGGGCAGACUAGAGUGUGCUAGGGGAGACUGGAAUUCCUGGUGUAGCGGUGAAAUGCGCAGAUAUCAGGAGGAACACCGGUGGCGAAGGCGGGUCUCUGGGGCAUAACUGACGCUGAGGAGCGAAAGCAUGGGGAGCGAACAGG